rnacentral:rRNA from 1 species
UACAGAGGGUGCGAGCGUUGUCCGGAAUCACUGGGCGUAAAGGGCGCGUAGGUGGCCUGGUAAGUAGGGGGUGAAAUCUACGAGGCUCAACUUCGAGGCUGCCUCCUAAACUGUCAGGCUUGAGCAGAGUAGAGGCAGGUGGAAUUCCCGGUGUAGCGGAUGGAAUGCGUAGAGAUCGGGAAGAACAUCGGUGGCGAAGGCGGUUCUCUGGGCAUGUCCUGACGCUGGAGGAGCGAAAGUGUGGGGAGCGAACAGG